CUCUCAGUGUUUCCCCAUUGAGUACCAUGUUAGCUGUGGGCUUUUCAUAUAUGACCUUUACUGGUUGAGAUAAGUUCGCUCUAUGCCUAUUUUGUUCUGAAUUUUUAUCAUGAAUGG